UACGUAGGGUGCGAGCGUUAAUCGGAAUUACUGGGCGUAAAGCGUGCGCAGGCGGUUCGUUGUGUCCGAUGUGAAAGCCCCGGGCUUAACCUGGGAAUGGCAUUGGAAACUGGCGAGCUUGAGUGCGGCAGAGGGGGUGGAAUUCCGCGUGUAGCAGUGAAAUGCGUAGAGAUGCGGAGGAACACCGAUGGCGAAGGCAGCCCCUGGGUCGACACUGACGCUCAGGCACGAAAGCGUGGGGAGCAAACAGG
rnacentral:rRNA from 1 species